CGUCUCAGUUCGGAUUGUAGUCUGCAACUCGACUACAUGAAGCUGGAAUCGCUAGUAAUCGCGAAUCAGAAUGUCGCGGUGAAUACGUUCCCGGGUCUUGUACACACCGCCCGUCACACCAUGGGAGUCAGUAACGCCCGAAGCCGGUGACCCAACCAAACGGAGGGAGCCGUCGAAGGUGGGACCGAUAACUGGGGUGAAGUCGUAACAAGGUAGC
rnacentral:rRNA from 1 species